AAAAUCAACAUAGACCCACUCAUAACACAUAAAUUGCCUUUUGAAAGGAUCAAUGAGGCAUUUGAAUUGCUCCAAGGUGGAAAAUGCAUCCGCUGCGUCCUCUCGUUUUGAGAUCCCAGAUAGUAAAAAUGGAGCAUGAACAUGCACAGCAGCUCUCUUUUCUGCCUUUUUCAACACUUUGAUGGCUAAUUUGCAACAUGUCGAACCCAAAAUUGGAAAGAGGGCCCUUCUGGAAUUUUAGAAAUGGAACAAGUAUAAUAAAAUAAACUACUUGGAAACUGA